GACGAACGCUGGCGGCGUGCCUAAUACAUGCAAGUAGAACGCUGAAGAGAGGAGCUUGCUCUUCUUGGAUGAGUUGCGAACGGGUGAGUAACGCGUAGGUAACCUGCCUUGUAGCGGGGGAUAACUAUUGGAAACGAUAGCUAAUACCGCAUAACAACGGGUGACACAUGUCAUUUAUUUGAAAGGGGCAAUUGCUCCACUACAAGAUGGACCUGCGUUGUAUUAGCUAGUAGGUGAGGUAACGGCUCACCUAGGCGACGAUACAUAGCCGACCUGAGAGGGUGAUCGGCCACACUGGGACUGAGACACGGCCCAGACUCCUACGGGAGGCAGCAGUAGGGAAUCUUCGGCAAUGGGGGCAACCCUGACCGAGCAACGCCGCGUGAGUGAAGAAGGUUUUCGGAUCGUAAAGCUCUGUUGUAAGUCAAGAACGAGUGUGAGAGUGGAAAGUUCACACUGUGACGGUAGCUUACCAGAAAGGGACGGCUAACUACGUGCCAGCAGCCGCGGUAAUACGUAGGUCCCGAGCGUUGUCCGGAUUUAUUGGGCGUAAAGCGGGCGCAGGCGGUUUGAUAAGUCUGAAGUUAAAGGCUGUGGCUCAACCAUAGUUCGCUUUGGAAACUGUCAAACUUGAGUGCAGAAGGGGAGAGUGGAAUUCCAUGUGUAGCGGUGAAAUGCGUAGAUAUAUGGAGGAACACCGGUGGCGAAAGCGGCUCUCUGGUCUGUAACUGACGCUGAGGCUCGAAAGCGUGGGGAGCGAACAGGAUUAGAUACCCUGGUAGUCCACGCCGUAAACGAUGAGUGCUAGGUGUUNGGAUCCUUUCCGGGAUUCAGUGCCGCAGCUAACGCAUUAAGCACUCCGCCUGGGGAGUACGACCGCAAGGUUGAAACUCAAAGGAAUUGACGGGGGCCCGCACAAGCGGUGGAGCAUGUGGUUUAAUUCGAAGCAACGCGAAGAACCUUACCAGGUCUUGACAUCCCGAUGCUAUUUCUAGAGAUAGAAAGUUACUUCGGUACAUCGGUGACAGGUGGUGCAUGGUUGUCGUCAGCUCGUGUCGUGAGAUGUUGGGUUAAGUCCCGCAACGAGCGCAACCCCUAUUGUUAGUUGCCAUCAUUCAGUUGGGCACUCUAGCGAGACUGCCGGUAAUAAACCGGAGGAAGGUGGGGAUGACGUCAAAUCAUCAUGCCCCUUAUGACCUGGGCUACACACGUGCUACAAUGGUUGGUACAACGAGUUGCGAGUCGGUGACGGCAAGCUAAUCUCUUAAAGCCAAUCUCAGUUCGGAUUGUAGGCUGCAACUCGCCUACAUGAAGUCGGAAUCGCUAGUAAUCGCGGAUCAGCACGCCGCGGUGAAUACGUUCCCGGGCCUUGUACACACCGCCCGUCACACCACGAGAGUUUGUAACACCCGAAGUCGGUGAGGUAACCUUUUGGAGCCAGCCGCCUAAGGUGGGAUAGAUGAUUGGGGUG
rnacentral:rRNA from 1 species